rnacentral:rRNA from 1 species
GAUGAACGCUGGCGGCGUGCCUAAUACAUGCAAGUCGAGCGAACAGACGAGGAGCUUGCUCCUCUGACGUUAGCGGCGGACGGGUGAGUAACACGUGGAUAACCUACCUAUAAGACUGGGAUAACUUCGGGAAACCGGAGCUAAUACCGGAUAAUAUAUUGAACCGCAUGGUUCAAUAGUGAAAGACGGUUUUGCUGUCACUUAUAGAUGGAUCCGCGCCGCAUUAGAUAGUUGGUAAGGUAAAGGCUUACCAAGGCAACGAUGCGUAGCCGAACUGAGAGAGUGAUAGGCCACACUGGAACUGAGACACGGUCCAGACUCCUACGGGAGGCAGCAGUAGGGAAUCUUCCGCAAUGGGCGAAAGCCUGACGGAGCAACGCCGCGUGAGUGAUGAAGGUCUUCGGAUCGUAAAACUCUGUUAUUAGGGAAGAACAAAUGUGUAAGUAACUAUGCACGUCUUGACGGUACCUAAUCAGAAAGCCACGGCUAACUACGUG